CCAUUGACAUUUCAACAAUGUCUAAUGUAAUGGGAGGAUCAUCACUCCUUGAUUGAGACAAAACUACACUCCAAUAUUUCCUCGCAGAUGAUUACUAUACAAAGAAGAUUGGUUAACCCAACUCAAAGCAACUUUCUAUGUCAAAUCCUAAAUGCGCCGAGAUGUAAUUGUCAAAUCCAAUUUUAAUAAUUGCAUACACAAUAGCUACAACGAUUACCCCAUAUCAUCAGAUGAUCCCAAAAUUUGAAAGCAAUGCUGUGCAUUUUUUUUUUUUUUUUUAAAUGAGAGCAAUGCUAUCUCGGUUUCGUAACACAGGAUGAAAUCACUUCAAUUUUGCUGCAGAAGUACCCUGGCUCUAUGCUGAAGUUUAUUGAACAAGUUGCUAUCAAAACUAUGGCAACUCAAGUUUGCAGCAACAUCAAUCAAAUUUUGGAUGAAGACUACCAUCUCAUCACUAGUAUUUCUGUGUUUGCCAUAUACAGCCUCAAAUUCUCUGGAUUUUGCAGCAGCUUUUUCUAGUAUAGAAUCAGGGAGUCCUGAAAAGAUUACUACUAAGAACUGGAAUUUAUUCCCCAAGUGCCAUCUCAAAACUUUUGCCAACAAAUUUCGCAACUUAUAUUGACAAAUACAAAAUAAAGUCUUGCAUUGUCAGUAACGUCAACUAUUUAUUCAGUAUCCCAAAAAUGCAGUAUGCUUUACCAUGAAACAUGCAGUUUUAUCGUGUUGAAAAAAUAAUUAUAUUAAAUAAGGAAUUGAAGCCUUUGGCUCCAUAUUGAAAAUGUUAAAACUGUUGGUGCCAGUAUAAAAAACAUGGGCAAUCACUUAAAACAUCUUGAUUACCUCGAGUAUUGAAUCUUGUGGAAAUUCCAGAUGAAGAUGCAAAGAAAUAGACAAAAAAAUUACCAGCCAGUCUUGCUACAUUGACACCAUAGCUUUUAGGGCAUGCACCAGGCAUCAACCUAUAUAGAAAUGUAACUUCCUCCACUUCUCCAACCCCAGUUCCAACUUGACAUGCCAUGUGGCAGAGUGAGACCUUGGGAUCUUUCUGAUAGUCUACAGCUAAUCGAUGAUAGUGAGUUGAAAACAUUCCUCGACACUGCACCUCGUGGACAAAAUGAUCAAGUACUGCUUCCGCUAUUGCUUGUCCAUCUGAUGUUGAUGUGCCACGUCCAAGUUCAUCCAGUGCCACCAAUGAAUUACGAGUGGCCGAUGACAGCAUCAAUGCAGUUUCUGAAAGCUCUGUCAAGAAUGUACUUUGACCUGCCAUAAUAUGAUCUUUUGCACCCAUUCGGACAAAUAUUCGGUCGACAGGUGACAAUUCAAAGCUCCCAGCAGGGACAUCAGCCCCUACCUGGGCCAAAAUCACAGCUAAACAAACUUGCCGGAGAAGAGUAGACUUUCCACCCAUGUUAGGACCAGUCAGAAGGACAAAGCUGGCACCAUCACUACCACCAAUACUGAUGUCAUUUGGCACAAAUGCACCCUUGCCUAAAGAAUCACUUCUAAGAACAGGGUGACCCAAACUUUUUGCAGAUAUCUGUGGCACUUCACUUGACGAUGAACCCAUGAUGACUGGACGGCAUGCUGGCCCUUCAUAAAAGUCACUUGCAAUUGCCAAACUAAUCAAAACAUCCAGUUCUGCUGUUGUUGAAACCAGUUGUCUCCACUUAUCAUGAUGUUCACAGAAACGCCCUAUCAAUCUCUGCAAAAUGCUCUUCAAUGUUGACUCCUUUUCAGAUUCAGACUGUGAGAGCUCUCCUAAGAGCUUCUUAAUGCUUGGAGUCCAAUACCUGUAAAAUCCCUUUUUGGAUGAACGCAACUCAUAAUCUCGAGGAAUACUCCCUCGCAAAUGUUCUGGAACUUCUAAUAGAUAUGCCUCUUUUCCAACUGUGACGUAACUGAUUGAUGUGUCUCCAAGUAACUUCCGCUGUUCCUUAAGGUGUUUUGUCAAACUCGACUCAAUUUCCCUAACUUUUUUACAAGCAGAGUCAUACUCCAGAUCUACUCCAUCAUGAGGUAUUAUACGUCCAGAAUUGUUGGCCUCCACCCAAUCAAAGGCAUCCUUAAAAUGUUUAAGAAUUGAAUGGAUAUCAGGAAGACCUUCACCAGGUGUUAACAAAUGAUGUAGUUGCCUAGACUCAACACUUUCCAAAAUGACACAAAGUGAGGAACAUGCUUGGGCCAUUAAUUCACAGCCACGUAGAGCAGUUAUGAACUCCUGGAGCUGCUUCUUUGCUGCAUCCUCAUAUAAAAUUACCUUAUUUGAAUUUCUUCCAUUAGCUUCACUGCUAGCACAUAUGCGUGCAAGUAAUCGCUCCAUGUCAGGAAGCCUGGACAAUGCUUUUCGAAAUUCCAGUGCCAUAGGUUGAUUUGCCCCCCGUAGACCUGCUACAGCAUCCUGGCGAUCCUUAAUAGAUUUCAAAUGAUAUAGAGGUCUUGCUAGCCAUGUUUUCAGCAACCUCUUCCCAAAUGCUGUCACACAAUGAUUCAUUUGUGCAUAAAGUGUCCCUGAAGAGCCUCCAUUUCUGUUAUUCUCAAAGAUCUCAAGAUUCUCCAUUGCAGCAGCAUCAAGAAUCAUAUAUGGUUUUUGAGCAACAUUGCAGAAAUCAGAGCAUGGAAGUGAUUCAAACUUUGCAAAUCUAAGCAAAGUCUCAUCCAGAAAAGCCUGUUUUAGAUAAUAGAGAGUUCCUCCAAGAGCUGAAAGUGCUAGGCUGCCAUUUUCUCCUUUAUUUACUAGCUCUGACAAAAUAUCUGGCAGGCAGCUUGACCCAUCUUCUGCAACAUGAAGUUCUGCUGUAUCUGUAUCCGCUUUAUUCAAAAAUCCAGGAGCUGAUUGACCAGUGAUACGCUUGUAGAUGGCCUUGACUUCACAAACAGUUUUCUCAGAAUCCCAGAAUUCUGAGAUGGGAACCAACUCAUUUACUAAAGGAUUUCUCGUAUGCCUUAACAUUACUCUCUCAGUUUCAGAGCUGAGCAUUUUUGCAGGUUUUAUAAUUUCUACUGGCCUCAGCUCAGAUAACAGACAACACAAUGAGCUGCAUUCUGCAUCAUCCUCAAACUGCCCAAGAAGGAUUCUGCUGGUAGCAACAUCAACCACACAGAUACCAAAAACCCGCUCAAAAUUUUUGUUUUCCAAAUUCUGACGGCUUUCAGUCACUCCCAUUAGAUAAGAAGCAUCAGGAUUUGCUGUAAGUAAUUCUCCCUCAGUUAGUGUUCCUUUUGUAACCACUGCACAUAUUUCACGUUUCACAACCUUGUCUUUAGAACCUUUCUCUUUGCGACGAAGUUCCAGUUGUUCAGGUGUUUCCGUCUGCUCUAUAACAAGAACUCGAUAACCCUUUCUUGCCAUUUUCUCCACGUUCAUUGAGAAGUUCCUCUCUGGAAAACCACAAUGUGGUUGUUCUCCCUUCAUAUAUUGCAAAUCUAAUUCCUUAGCUCCUAUGUGGGCAUCCAUUUCAAAAAGCUCAUAAAACUUGCCCAUCUUGAAAAACAAAACUUUAUCCAUAUGCUUUGAUUUGAACUCCCACCAUUGCCUCUGACCACCUGAUAAACUCUUUACAAAAUUUGGAGGCAGGUACAAAGUCCUUGGAUCAUAAUUUGCAUCUCCAGGGCGCCUCCUUUUUGCAUCCGUCCGCUCUGCUCCAAGAAACCACAAUUUCUCAGUUUCACGUGCGCUGAACCUUUCAGAAGCAUCACUUGUCAAAGCAUCACCAAGGCCAUUAGACAACCCAGUUCCUUCAGUCUUCACUUGCUCCAUAAUUGAAACUUUCAAUUCUUCUUUACUCACAUCCCCAACAACCUCGCUCUUCUUCCCGCAACCCAGCUUUCCAGCUCCGCAGGCCUUCCUUUUCCUUGAUUCACUCUUCCCACUCUGCUUUUCUUUUUUGUCAACCUUGAUAUUAUCCUCUUCUUCCUCAUCCUCCAACUCCAUAUCAUCCUCAUCACUGAGGUCCAUCUCUGGAUUCUUUCCCCAAUCUUCAUCACUAGAAUCAUCACCAUCAUUUUCUUCUUCAACAUUACAGACAUCUUUCAUCUCUUCAUUUUCAUCUUCAAUCACUGUCUUCUUGAAAGCCAAAGAACCCCUUCGUAAGCGCUUAAAUUUCUUCACAGUUUCCUCAACCCACUCAAUUUUUUCCAUUCCCAAAUCCAACAUCUCCUCUUCGAAAUCAUCAUACUGAACCAAAUGCUUACCAGAAUCCUUAUCAUAAACUUUAACGCAACCCUCGUACCAUCUCUUAUCCAACGGCCAGUAAACCCUAAUUCUCUUAUCCACCACCUCUUUGUCGUACGACUUAGUGGUGGUUGCAGGUGUUGACAGAGACGGCGAUGGAGAUGGGGAGGGCGUUUGGCCAAUGACUAGGCGUGGUUUUUUUAUUUUGGUUUGUAGAGGAGAAGGAGUAGAAGGGCUAGGGCUCGGAGGUUUAGGGUUAGGGUUAUAUUUGGGGGUUUGUUCUUUGGAGAGAGUAGAGGCGGGAAGUGGAGAAGGAGAGGUUGCUUUAGAGAAAAAAGAAGUGAUUUGGCGCUGUGGAUUGACCAGCGGUGAUCUGCCAUUGCUUGGUUUACGCGCCGGUGCCAUUUCCGUGGUUUUGCUUCCGUGGCUCCGAGAGAAUGGCAGCAGCCAGUAGGGGAGUGUGGUUAAGCGAAAAGGCCUAAAGAACAACAGAUAUGAGACCGAGAAGGUCCACACAAAUGGUCUCUCAAGAGAAAGGGAAAGUUAGCCUAAGAGCUUUACGCAUCAACCGCAGCAUGUAAUAUGGCGGGAAUUUAGUGCAAAUUCCCGGCAAGUGUUUCAUCGGCGUAAUUUGGCGGGAAUUUGGGGCCGUCGUCUUCUACAGUUCCACUCUCCACGGUUAAGCCUUUAGGCCCAAACCCUGAUCACAUGGGCUUGGGUGGAGACUUGUCAUCCACUUAGGGCCAGCAAGGAUCUGUCCAUUUCUGAGCUGAACCCAGCAACAACCUUACCGUUAGUUGCACCUUCCCUAGUCACACUCACAUUCCGCUGGUGCACCCGCCGCACCGAUCUCAAACCUCUUAUAAUUCAACUGCUUUUGUUUCUCUUCACUGCUCUUUAAUGGCUGCCCAAUGUUUCUCACUUUAAAAGAGCCCGCCAAAUUUUCCAUCUUGCUCCGUUGCUGCGUACAAUCCCAACCGCAUUCAAGUUUCCAUGGCCAAAUCUACUCCACCGAAAAGCUUCUCUCUCUCGACGAGAUACAAAGAGGAGGGGGAAAACGAUGUGGAGGAGGGCAAGUGUGCCUGCCUGGUGAUGGUUCUCUGCCCUUGUCUCGUUUGUUUCAUUCUUCUCCUCAUAGUAGUCUUUAUAAUUCUUAUUGUCAAGUUCCAUUUAUUUUGCCACACUCCUCUUCGCUCUCUUGUCUUCAAGAAAAUUUGUCACUAGUUACAAACUCCAGAAGCAUUAAUAAUUCUGAAACCUCAGUAUUGCCGAGUGUUUAUGCACAUGGAAAAGUUACUGGGUUAGCUGCUAGGGGUUUUUCUUGCUUCACCGGCGCUGGAUCAGAUUCCGAUGCUGAAGUUGAUGAAAAUAGUGACAGUGAUAACUGUGGUAACGAUAAUGAAGCUGCAUGUGUCAAGGCGAGUGCAGAUCCUGUGGAGGUCGAUAGGGUAUGCAAGGUGAUCGAUGAAUUGUUUGCCUUGGAUCGCAACAUGGAGGCAGUUCUUGAUGAAUGUGGAAUCAAUUUAUCGCAUGAUCUAGUGAUAGACGUACUGAGAAGAUUCCGUCAUGCUAGAAAACCUGCAUUCCGGUUCUUCUGUUGGGCUGGGAAAAAGCAAGGUUUUGCCCAUGAUUCGAGGACAUACAACUCGAUGAUGAGUAUACUUGCAAAGACUAGACAGUUUGAGACUAUGGUUUCGAUGCUCGAAGAAAUGGGGGAGAAAGGGCUUUUGACAAUGGACACAUUUUCAAUUGCAAUGAGAGCUUUCGCUGUUGCCAAGGAGCGGAAAAAGGCUGUUGGGAUAUUUGAGUUAAUGAAGAAGCACAAAUAUAAAGUGGGUGUUGAGACUAUCAAUUCUCUGCUUGAUAGUCUUGGGAGGGCCAAGCUUGGAAAAGAAGCGCAGAUCCUUUUUGGAAAGUUAGAAGGCAGGUUUACACCAAAUUUGAGGACUUAUACAGUGUUGCUUAACGGUUGGUGCAGGGUGAAGAAUUUGAUGGAGGCUGGAAGAGUUUGGAAUGAGAUGAUUGAUAAGGGGCUUAAGCCUGACAUUGUUGCAUAUAAUACUAUGCUUGAAGGUUUAUUAAGGAGUAAGAAGAGGUCUGAUGCGAUUAAAUUGCUUAUGGUCAUGAAGGCCAAGGGCCCAUCACCUGAUGUUCGGAGCUAUACAAUUUUGAUUCGGGAUCUAUGCAAGCAUUCAAAGAUGAAAGAGGCAAUUGAAUAUUUUGAUGAGAUGGUUGAUUCUGGCUGCAAGCCAGAUGCUACAGUUUACACAUGCUUGAUCACGGGGUUUGGGAAUCAGAAGAGGAUGGAUAUGGUUCAUGACUUGUUGAAGGAGAUGAAAGAAAAGGGUUGCCCCCCUGACGGCCAGACCUAUAAUGCCCUUAUCAAGUUGAUGACCAGUCGAAAAAUGCCAGAUAAUGCUGUGGGAAUAUACAAGAAGAUGAUUCAGAGUGGAAUUGAACCUUCAAUUCACACUUACAACAUGAUCAUGAAAUCCUUUUUUCAGACAAGGAACUGUGAAAUGGGUCAAGUGGUUUGGGAUGAGAUGAUCAGGAAGGGGUGUUGCCCUGACGAUAACUCCUACAUUGUUCUCAUUGGAGGGCUAAUAAGCCAGGGAAGAUCAGGCGAAGCUUGUAAAUACUUGGAGGAGAUGUUAGAGAAAGGAAUGAAAGCUCCCCAGCUUGACUACAACAAGUUCGCAUGUGAUUUGUCCAGAUCUGGGAAGCCCGAUAUGCUUGAGGAGUUGGCCCAAAAGAUGAAGUUCUCUGCCAAGUUUGAAACUUCCAAUGUUCUUGCUAGUUGGGCUGAGAUGAUGAAGAGGAGGGUUAAGAGAAGUGAUUUGGGUUAAUAGACACAGCAAGCCACUUGUUGAGGACCAACAGUACAAAGGUCAAAAGAUUGCAUUUAGGUGGUCGUUUUGAAGUGGAUGUAUGAUGCGUGUUGUAUAUUCUCUUAGUUAUUGCAUCCUGUACUUAUCCCACCAUUCUGUUCUAAUUUUACUUAUUUUUCGCUUUUGUGUUGUAUAUUUUCCUCUUUGAUUUAUAUUUCAGUUUGUUCCUUCUUCCUUCUUUCCCUAGUCAUUAGUUGUCAUCUUUCGAGAAUGUAAAUUAGCCCUGUCUCUGAAUAUUCUUGCGCGGAGGCUGGAGAGCUUGGAGAAGUAGAUGCGGCUUCAAUCGAGUAGAUAAUCAUAUUUCCUGUUUCCUUUCUGAAAGUAAAUGAGAGUUAAUGUGUGUAUUGGCUGAGAUUUAUAUGUAAGGAUGUUCAAUUGAAUUCCCUAUCAUAGUCAUAUAUAUGGCAGUUUAGUACAUAAGUUGAUGUUGUAUAUUGGGACCAUGCAGAUCACCUGGGAAUAGUAGAAUCAAUAAUUCUGUGGCAGGCAGCUAAUGUUUGCAUGUGCCCUUCUGGUUGCUGAAGUUGUUAGCAUUUGUUUUGAGAUUUGGCUUAUUCAAACUCAGGUUGUCUGUUCUUUGAGAUCUUAUUUUUAAGGUUCCUUUUCACUGUUGACAACCAAUAGGUGAUCCUGUCAGCAUUGACCUUGUUUAUUUGGUAAUUUGAGCUACGAAUAAACAAAGAUGGCUUAUCCUCUUUGGAUCAUUUUGAGUUUCUGCAAUUCAUUUGAUUAAAU
rnacentral:misc_RNA from 1 species